rnacentral:lncRNA from 1 species
UGCAGAGCUGGAUGUGCCCUGAGGCCAAAACCUCCCGGAAGGAGGUGUGGGGGGGGCAAUAUGGAGUUUUUCCACUGCUGCAACUAGGUUGCCUGCUCUGUGCUUCUUCUUCAACUGCUUCCCCACCACCUGUGUUUGACACUCUGAACCUGGCACAGCUUUGCCCACAAUGGACUCCCUCCAUACCAGCACCCUUGCUUGGCCAGAGGUUCCAGGAAGAGUCUAUGAAGAUGACUCAUUGUGAUUUCUUAUUUCUGCACUCCAUCCUAGAAGGGAAGGGGAAAAUUGAAGAAAGAAACUGGAAAUGCAAAAAAUUCCUAAAGGAACAAGUUGGAAAACUGCCUGAUGAUUCUCCCUGCGACUUUGGGAGAGCCCAGAUGCAUUCAGCUUUAUGUUCCCUAAAUUUGUGUUAGAGAUGAACCAGCAUGUACAUGUGGACUUGAAAUCCUUCAAAAAGAAGCUGCAUAACCCCCUAUUGGAUAUUGUUGAGGACUCAUAAUUUGUAUGGGGGUCAAGUGAGAUCUCAUGGAUUUGAACCAUGCAAUUCUAUGACUUUAUGAACCCAUAAAGAAACACAAACUAAAAGCCACUCAGUUUUUGAUUAUUUUUAAUAUAUUGGCUUCAAAUUCUUCCCAAAAGGAAUUUCUUAAGGGGGAGGGAAGACACAGAGCUUUUGGAGCUACUAUCAAGACAAAGGAGUUUUAUGAACUGGGAAGUGGCAUAGUCAUUUAUGUAAGCAAAAAUUUUUAUUUUGCCUCACAUUCACUUCUUUAUGGUUUAGAUGAGAAUUUUCCUCCUUGUCAUAACUUAUACUUUAGCAAUAAAUCAUGUUUUUCUCAAAUUGUAUC